GCUCCCCAUUACCACCGUCCAUUCAAUUCCUAACCUUCCUUCAAAUUCGCACACCUCCAAAACCCUAGCUCCACUUCCUUCUCUCCACUGCAGAUCACGUCGGAUUUCAGGGCGAAUUAUGUUUUAAUAAUAGUUAGAAUUCUCGUGAUCAUUGAGGUUUGCUAAUCUCGAUGGGAGACUCGUUGUAUGGGAUCCCUAAAGAGGCCAAUCUUGUUAUGUCUGGGAGAAAGCAGUCUCCAAGUUACUUAGUUGCUUCGCGCUCCAAGGCCUCUUUGCAGAGCUUGGGCGCGUUUAGAAUUGGAAAUGGUGUGGUCAGCCAGGCAGCACUGUUUGUGGUCAAAGUGGCUGCAUUGGAGGCGGUACGGAGGCUCUCCAGGGCCAAGUGCCCUUGGGUGUGGCGCGGCUUCCAGGCUUUGCAGUUUCUGUGUUAUCCACCGUUUAAGUGGUUUCGGAGAUUCGCUCCCUUCAAGGCUCUCGUUGACAACUUGCAGACGGUAUCGAAGCCGUUACUGGCUCUCUCCAUUGGAACGGCUUUUACUGAUGAGUUAGAGUUUGGUCCUGGAACUAAGGAUGAUGUCAACAAUUCUGAUGCGCGUCCAGAAGUACCGUCUGCAGAGUCUUCUUUGGAUACAAGUGUUGCUGAAGUAGUUCCUCAAAAUGUAGCAUCUGAAAGAUGGUUGAUACAACUACAUAAUGAGCUCGAAAGACAAGGGCUUAGCUUGCCAGAAAGAAUUGACGAGGAGGAACUUCGCAGGUUCUACACAGCGGCUAACAGAGACUUCUCGAGCUUUAUGUCUGCAAUAAAGAAGACGAUCAGGUGGCGAGAGACUUAUGGAAUUCUUUCGGUACAGGAGCUUGAGAAAUGGUCAAAUAUGGUCUUCUGGCAUGGAUUUGAUGUGAAACACCGACCUUGCCUCAUAGUACGGCUUGGAAUAGCAUGCAUCAGCUUGCCAGCUCAUGAUAAACCUCGGUUUGCUCAAGCAAUCAUUUCUCAAGUUGAUCAUGGAGUCUUUCAUUUACUUGAUGCCAACAAUACUCAGAUUACAGUUGUAGUAGAUUGUGAAGGUCUGACUCCAUUGAAAAUUCCCAUGCAAGUAUUGAGAACCUGUUCUUCGCUAUUGCAAGAUCACUUCCCCAACCGUCUUGGCUGUCUGUUUGUUGUACGGCUUCCUCCUAUGCUUCGUGUUAUUGCCCAAACUUUUAUCCAAGUUUUAAAACCUUACACCCGAGAAAAGUUGAGAAUUGAAGGGAAAAUGUACCAAAGGAUUCUUUCUGAGUGCCUGGAGACACUCCCAUCAUUUCUUGGUGGCAAAUGCCUGUGCAAAAUAUGUUCAGAUAUUAACACGAGAGACAUGCAGCAGCCUUGCAUAAAUGAUAUUAUGAAGAGAGAGCUGAGAACGAGUGUUUGCGAGGAUGGGAAUUUUCGCUCUCCCAGUUCAAUUUGUGAGUCUGAGGUUGAACCAGACUAUAACUGUGAUCGGCUUCUGAGAACUGCCAUAGUCAGCAUCCUUAUGUUUUGGAUUUUAGUAGCUUUUAUUGCUGGAUUUUUUGACCCUGGAAGCGGUCCCUUUUCUUCUUCAAGAGGUAAGACAUAGGAGCAGGAAAACUCUUUUUCCCCUCUCU